CAGCAGGUAGUUUAUUAGAGAAUGUUAAUUUUGGAGAUUAAUGGAGAAAUUAUGUUUUUCUUUGCUGA
rnacentral:tRNA from 1 species